GACAGAGGGUGCAAACGUUGUUCGGAAUUACUGGGCGUAAAGCGAGUGUAGGCGGUCCGAUAAGUCAGGUGUGAAAGCCCUGGGCUCAACCCAGGAAGUGCACUUGAAACUGACGGGCUAGAGUAUCGGAGAGGUUGGUGGAAUUCUCGGUGUAGAGGUGAAAUUCGUAGAUAUCGAGAGGAACACCGGUGGCGAAGGCGGCCAACUGGACGAAUACUGACGCUGAGACUCGAAAGCGUGGGGAGCAAACAGG
rnacentral:ncRNA from 2 species